GGUGUUGGCUCAGUGGUAGAGCACUUGCCUAGUAUGUGUGAGGCACUGGGUUCGAUCCCUGGCACCA
rnacentral:tRNA from 1 species